UCGUGUUGUGAAAUGUUGGGUUNAGUCUCGCACAGAGAGCACNCCUUAUCUUUGUUUUCCAGCNCUUUGGGUGGGAAAUCCAGGGAGACANCCGGUGAUAUACCGGAGAAAGGUGGGGNNGACGUCAAGUCNUCAUGGCCCCNUUGAGUAGGGNUACACACGUGCUACAAUGGCAUAUACAGAGGGCAGCAAGACCCGAGGUGGAGCGAAUCNCAGAAAGUAUGUCGUAGUUCGGAUCGGAGUUUGCAACUUGACUCCGUGAAGUUGGNAAUCCUAGUANUUGUGGAUUCAAAUGCCCCGGUGAAUUAGUUUCCGGGCCUUGUUCCCCCCCCCCGUCCCCCCCUGGGAGUGGGGUGCCCCCAAAGUAGAUAGCUUAACCUUUGGGAGGGCGUUUUCCCCGGGGUGGUUCCUGAAUGGGGGGAAGUUGUACCAAGGGAA
rnacentral:rRNA from 1 species